rnacentral:rRNA from 1 species
UCGAACAGACCUAAAACUUCUAGCUACUACACCAAAAUUUCAUUUUAAUCCAACAUCGAGGUCGCAAACUUUCUUUUCGAUUAGAACUCUCAAAAAAAAUUACGCUGUUAUCCCUAAGGUAAUUUUAUCUUUUAAUCUUUAAAUAAGGAUCAAAUAUUCACAAAUAAGUGUGCUAUUAUAAAAAAAGUUAAUUAAAUUUUUCAAUCACCCCAAUUAAAUUAAAUUUUACAUAAAAAUAAAUAAAUACUAAAAAUACUCAUGCUAAUUUAAUAAAACUCUAUAGGGUCUUCUCGUCUUUAAUAAAAAUUUAAGCUUUUUGACUUAAAAAUAAAAUUAUAAUAAAUUUAGAUAGAGACAGAUUUUUUCUCAUUAAACCUUUCAUUCCAGCUUCUAAUUAAGAAACUAAUGAUUAUGCUACCUUUGCACGGUCAAAAUACCGCGGCCAUUCAAAUCUUCAUUGGGCAGGUCAGACCUUAAAUUAUACUCAAAAG